UGUUUACUUUUAGAAGGCAAGCUGUAAAUAUUAGUGGUAAUUGUGUGCUGAGUGGAACCACAUUCCUACCUCUACCUUGGAAAGAUUAUACUAAUCCAGAGGCCAGAAAUCUGCUGAACUUUAACCAAUUCUUGAAGUUUUGAAGGUCCCCAGCCCUAUGGCCCCAUACCAGGGCCUCAGUACGGCAUCAAUGAAGAAAUGAAUGGGUUCGGCUACUUUACAAAAUAAUUAUGAUUCAUCCCUGGAUGACCUGAUAUUUGUCAAAGCUUCAGACUGGAAGACACUCCAACCUUAUAUUCUCCUGCCCCCACCCGAACUCCACCUCCCCAACUCUCCGAGCUAGAUCCAUCUGCCUCAAAGCAAGACACCAACGCCAAGCCUGCUGACAGCUGACCUUCCCAUCUCAGUGCUGUAACCCAGAUUCCUUCCUCCCUCCCCCUACUGCCCUGGCUCUGACUUAACCCUGUAGACUCCAGCGGGACUUAAUGUACGUUUCUCUUUGACCAUCUCACUCUGUGUAUUAGUACCUUAUGGUGAAGCCUGAUUCUUCUAGCAUACCUGAAGUAUGUGUCUUUUUCUUAAUCCUCAUAUUUAAACAGUUCUUUUCAGCUGAGAUCAAAUAUUUUUGAGAAUGAGCUGGUCUCUAGUGACUAGAGUGACCAUAUAAUUCAUCAUUCAAUUCUGAACACUACUGAAAGUGAAAGCAGGCACUAAAUGGAUAUAAGAUUCAAGUAGGAUGUGCAGUCACUUUACUCAUGAGCAAGCAAUAGUCUCCUGCAGAGGUCCUGGAAUCAUGUCAUUUGAACCUGCCAUUGGGGAGAGAGGUCAGUCAGAGUGGAGUAGAGUAAGAAAAGUGGAGAGGUGGGAAGAAAAAGAGAAAGAAGAGGGACAGUAGGGGGAGACUGGAGAAGGGCUGAACUCAUUUCAGUGUGACAGAGUGAGAAUCUCUAAAGUACACUAACUGGGCCCUCGUAAAGGAGAAUGAAUAAGACAAGAGAAUGAGCCAAAGUAUCUAUGGUAAGAUCACCAGAGCUGACCCCACUGUUAAUCCAGCUGGGAAGUCCUUACACCAUGUUGUUUUAUUUCUUCCCACCAUGCAUUAUGGGUUGUGACUGAUCUUAGUAAAGACUCGGCUGAAGCAGCAGAGUAUACAUGUGGCUAGAAUAUAUAGCUAUAUAGUUUUUCACCUCUCCUUUAACUUUGUAUUCCCUCUCCCACUGCCUCAGGGAAGGGAUGACUCCACAUAAAAUAAGUAACACAAAAGGAAUCAGUUAUUAGCUUUUUAGUUUUUAACAUCUUGGCUGGAAUGUGUACAAUGUGGGAGAUGUGGGAGUAGCAAUGAGUAAUAACAAAGAAGUUUUCCCAAUCCAUGCUGCUGCCCCCUGUCCUCCGGGCUAAAGUGCUCCACACUCCCUUCCACCAACUGGGAAAACAGAGGAAGACUGGAGAAGAGCAGAGAGCUUAGGUGUGUUGACAAGUCCUUGAUGAAAAAGGUCUGCACCUUUUUCUAGAUGAAAAAGAUCAUUUCCUGGGGUGAACCAAUGAGAAUGUUCCAUGACAGAAACUCCAGAUGGAUCUGGGAAUGGGAUUCCAGAGGAAACCUAUGUUUUCUUUUCCAGGUAGACUCUAAGAAGGAGGCAAGACCCCUGAAGUCUGGCUGUCCACUCCGUCUUGGCAGAUGAAUUUGAAAAGGCCUCAGAGUAAACCUGUAAAUAACUCAAGGUGCCAGCUGUCACAGAGGUAUCUGCUACCAGAAGAGAGGCUGGCAAAUCUGGCAGGAGCCUGGGAACGGAGGCUGCAGAGGCUGCGAGCCUUCAUGCUGUCUCCUUGAUGAAUACCACAGACCCUAUUUUCUGUAGGGUGAUUGCUUUAUUGACUAUUAUCAAUUCUCUACAUUUUAGGAGGAUGAAAUUUGAUUUUAUGCGCUUGAAGCAUAGGUUUUAAUCAUGUAAUAGCACAACUCUAAAGAGGAAACACAAUUAUCACAGAGUUCACUUCUAUCAAGGCCUUUAGGAAUGUUCUCACUCAAAAAGGGAAGGUAUUCCUUUCAUGCUUUCAAAGGCUUCAUAUAGCCCUAAGAGGUACCUUCCAAAUGGACUUUUCAAGACAGCUCUUGUCUUCUCUAUAAGGAAAAUCCCUUUAUUAUGAAACUCCUUCAACAUUGAGUGUAGAUCUGACCAGUAUUCAUCUUAAGAACAGACUUAAUCUGUGGGCUCAGAAAUUGUGUAUGUAUGUGUGUGUGUGUGUGUGUGUGUGUGUUUUAUGCUCUUACUGUCGUGCUUUCAAACACUUGUACUGCCUCACACAUCAGGCUGGAAUGAUUUGUCGGGGAGUAAAAUAAUUUCAACUGAAAAAUUGUAUGACUUCGAAGACAUUUACAUAUACUGGCACUUUUUUUCAUUUAUCCAACAUCUCAGAGUGAAUUACAAAUAGUUCCUACAACCAACUGAGUUCUGAGUUGAGCAUCUCUCCUAUGUGAGUGGAACUGUGUUAAGCACUGGGAAGAGAUAAAGACGACUAAGGCCAUUCCUGUCAGCAAACAGUAAUUAAGUUGGUGAAACCAGCAUUCAAACAGAGCACCAGCAUACAUAGCAGAAUGAAAUGCAUGUAGAGGGAAGUUACAAACCAAUCUGGGCCAGGGAUACACAGAGAAAGAAGGAUCAAUUCUGGGAGGGGGGUCAGGAAGGACUUUCUGGAGAAGGAGGCCUUGAGAGGUAAGGAGGAUUUAAGUUGGCAGAGAACAGGAGAAAGACCCUCCAGCAUGGGGGAAUAGCAGAGAGAAGUCCCUAAUGUAGACUUUUAUACCUUUGUUUCAUUGACUCAACUUCCUGCUUCUAGAAAGUUCUAUUUUUAAAUCUUCCUGUUUACCUCCCCCAGACACGUUUUUAAACAUAUUUCACUUCUACUCAAAACCUGUGCAUAGUGUCCCAUGUCCCAUUGCUGGCUGCAUGAAUUCCAAACUUUUCUUUGGACAUUCAAGGCUUUUCUCAUCCUGAUCCCAGCCUCUCUCCUUGGUCACUAACUGACCUCCUGCAUCAGAUGUCACGAGGUGAAAGACUAUGGGCCAAAUGUGCCCCCACAGUGUUCUUCAGAUGUUUGAAUUCAUUUUCUAUAUUUUAACGCCAAGAUAUGUAUUCUCAGAUAAAAAGAACCAGGGCUCCUUGCAGAAGUGAUUGAUUCCAGA